rnacentral:rRNA from 1 species
UACGUAGGGUGCGAGCGUUAAUCGGAAUUACUGGGCGUAAAGCGUGCGCAGGCGGUUGGUUAAGUCUGAUGUGAAAGCCCCGAGCUCAACUUGGGAAUGGCAUUGGAAACUGGCUGGCUAGAGUGUGGCAGAGGGGGGUGGAAUUCCGCGUGUAGCAGUGAAAUGCGUAGAUAUGCGGAGGAACACCGAUGGCGAAGGCAAUCCCCUGGGCCUGCACUGACGCUCAUGCACGAAAGCGUGGGGAGCAAACAGG